UACAGGCCUAACACAUGCAGUCGAGGGGCAGCGAGAGGGAAGCUUGCUUUCCUUGUCGGCGACCGGCGCACGGGUGAGUAACGCGUAUCCAACCUUCCCUAUAGUAGAGAAUAGCCCGGCGAAAGUCGGAUUAAUGCUCUAUGUUAUUCAUAGAUGACAUCUGAAAUGAAUCAAGGUUUACCGCUAUAGGAUGGGGAUGCGUCUGAUUAGGUAGUCGGCGGGGUAACGGCCCACCGAGCCUACGAUCAGUAGGGGUUCUGAGAGGAAUGUCCCCCACAUUGGUACUGAGACACGGACCAAACUCCUACGGGAGGCAGCAGUGAGGAAUAUUGGUCAAUGGGCGAGAGCCUGAACCAGCCAGUAGCGUGCAGAUGACGCACGGAAGUAAACUGCUUUUAUACAGGGAUAAAGUGAGGACGGUUCCUUUUUGACGCACCCUCAUCGAAUUAUUUUUCUGCUAAUCCGUGCAGCAGCGCGGUAUACCGACCGCCCCGCCGUCUAUCCGAUUUAUUGGGUUUAAGGAGCGCAGCUGAUGAUUAGCGUGACGUGAAUUGUAGCGCUCACGCUGACUGCGUCCGGACUGGUUAUCUUGAGUGAUCGAUGUUGCGAAUUCUGGCUACCGUGAAUCCUAAAUUCACGAAAACCCGAUGCAGCAGCCACAGCCUUUCUGAGCUAGCCGAGGUGCGGUUCGAACGAAUAAUCCUGGAUUCGCAGUACAUGAUGCCGUGUUCGAUACUGGAGGCAGAUCUAGUCCACUGGGAAACCGCCUAAUCAGAUACGGUCGACGGAACUGUUAUCUGAUACGGACUCGGUUAUCGCGAGACAGUACUCGGGCCUGAGUUGGUUCUUCUCGGGUCUUUAUGAUCUAAAGACCUUUGAGUCCACGU
rnacentral:rRNA from 1 species